AUUUGCAAUGACUUUAGUUUUGUGUCAUGUCUGUGAUCUGCUUUUUUCUACAAAAUUAAACAACUGAAUGAACAUCCUCCGAGGCCGGUGAUUCCAUAAUUUUUGCCAGAGGUUGUAGAAACAUGUUUCAGUGUAACUGUAGCAGUCCUCACUCUUCUCUUGUGGCUUCUUUUUUCCUCCUCCCACAUAGUUUGCUGGACUUUUGAAGCAAAGGGAUCCAGUGGUUUAUCCUGGUUGUGCUUUAUUAUCGGCCUGUAAUGACAAAUGAGUACAUUUUAAUCAAACGUUCAUGGUGCAUCACAUUCAAGCCCCAACAUCUGCUGCUAAAAAAGUGAAGCCAACACAGAAGUGCCAAACAUGCAUUUCCUUGACUGGCCACUUGAGGCUGUUUGUUUUUUUCUUUUUUAAAGCAAUUAAUUUCCCAUAAAAUCUUUAAACCAUAUUUUUCUGUCAUUAGGCUGUGUUUGUUUUGAGUGACAGCUGUGUCCAGGGUUCAAGGACAAGUCAACGUGUAGACAUGAAUAUCCAGGAAUUAAACCAACAUCUUUUUGUGUCCUCUUCCAGCUUUAAUGGCAGCCAGAUGUUCUUUAUGGAUCUUUUCCUCUGCCUUGAUCUUUUUCUGACGUUCUUCUUGAGCCUGAAGCAAAUGAUAAUGAACAGACACAGACAUUUUUAACACGAGAUUAGAAACCUGACAGUUUUCAUACAGACGGGUCAGGUCUUGGAGCACGUGCUGGUCCUGAAUCUGAUUCACCAAAAACAUGAAAUCAACACCAACCUUCUUGAAUUUGAGUCUGAGGUGGGGGUAGUCCUUAGUUGGUCCUGUGUCAACAACGGGUUCAGUUACUGACUUCAUCUGAAUAGAAAAAAAAAACAUGUUCAGGUCCACAAAUAAGAAGAUAACAUUAAUUGAAGAGACAGUGGAGAAAAUAUCUCUUGGAUUUGCAUGACUUAUAUAUGUCCAAUAACAUGAUAUCUUAUGUUCCUAACUGAUAUAUAGAAACAUGUUUCAGUGUAACUGUAGCAGUCCUCACUCUUCUCUUGUGGCUUCUUUUUUCCUCCUCCCACAUAGUUUGCUCGAAUUUUGAAUCAAAGUGUGGUUUAUUCUGGCUGCGCUUUGUCAUCGCCCUGUAAUGACAAAUGAGUACAUUUUAAUCAAACAUGUUCAUGGUGCAUCACAUUCAAGCCCCAACAUCUGCUGCUAAAAAAGUGACGCACAGAAGUGCCAAAACAUGCAUUUCCUUGACUGGCCACUUGAGGCUUUUUUUUAAAGUGAUUCAUUCCCUGUAAAACCUUUAAGCCAUGACUCGUUAGGCCGUGUUUGUUUUGAGUGACAGCUGUGUCCAGGGUUCAAGGCCCCACUAACAGCGGCUGGUGCGGAAUCUGCCGCAUUUGUUGAAGAAAAAUGCAUUUCCAGACAGACUUGGAUCAAAUCCCAAAGUAACACUAACCUGUUGUUUUGUAUGUUGGGGUGUUGUCCUCUUUCAACCUUGAUGACAAGCAGGUGAUGUUUGUCACUUUUUGUUCUUUAGUUUGAAGCACAUGUUAAUGAACAACACAGAAAGACGAUUUUAACAAAAGAUAAGAAAAUGAACAGUAAUUAAGAGAUAUAUUCUUGAGGCAAAACAGGACUUGGCAUUGGCUGAGACAAAACCUAAUCAAAUUCAAACAAAACAUGGCUGUUUUUGUGGAGCGUGUGUCUGUGCUGUGUUUGAAAUGAGACAGUGUUGAAAAAAAAA